ACGGGUGAGCAACGCGUGGGAACAUACCCUUUUCUACGGAAUAGCUCUGGGAAACUGGAAUUAAUACCGUAUACGCCCUACGGGGGAAAGAUUUAUCGGGGAAGGAUUGGCCCGCGUUGGAUUAGCUAGUUGGUGGGGUAAAGGCCUACCAAGGCGACGAUCCAUAGCUGGUCUGAGAGGAUGAUCAGCCACAUUGGGACUGAGACACGGCCCAAACUCCUACGGGAGGCAGCAGUGGGGAAUAUUGGACAAUGGGCGCAAGCCUGAUCCAGCCAUGCCGCGUGAGUGAUGAAGGCCUUAGGGUUGUAAAGCUCUUUCACCGAUGAAGAUAAUGACGGUAGUCGGAGAAGAAGCCCCGGCUAACUUCGUGCCAGCAGCCGCGGUAAUACGAAGGGGGCUAGCGUUGUUCGGAAUUACUGGGCGUAAAGCGCACGUAGGCGGAUAUUUAAGUCAGGGGUGAAAUCCCAGAGCUCAACUCUGGAACUGCCUUUGAUACUGGGUAUCUUGAGUAUGGAAGAGGUAAGUGGAAUUGCGAGU
rnacentral:rRNA from 1 species